CUUCCACCAAUUCCCUCCCACUAUACGUGGAGAUUAUUACAAUUCAAGGUUUUAGGAUAUAGUACCACUUUGAGAAGCCAAAGGAAGCAAUGGAUAAGGAGUUGUAAUCGUUGCCUCCAGUAGUGGGAGAAGAGAAAGAGCCGGGUCACUUGGAUGUGUGGACAGUUGCUGAGAAGAGCAGAAGAAAAGAAAAAAGACAGGCAACAUACACAAAAUGAACCGCUUUUUUGCUUGAAUCAAAUCCUAUUGAUUAAUCCCUUUACAUUGUUUACUAAAAAUGCAAUACAACUU
rnacentral:lncRNA from 1 species